GCCUAUGACAUAGUGUUAAUGCAUUGGAUCCCAUUAGAACUCUGCAGUUAAGCACACUCAGGCUAGAGUAGUAUUGGGAUGGGUGACCGCCCAUGAAGUCUUAGUAUUUUACAUGCC
rnacentral:rRNA from 1 species